CACAGUCAAAAUAAGCAGGUUUUAUUGCAUCAAAAUAAUAAUAUGAGAUAUCAGGGCUACAAAAUACCACAGAUUCAAACCAACAUAACCAUCUCACCUCCAACAUACAGUCUCGCACAUGCGCAGUACUUGCGAGCCCAGGGAACACGGACGCCAUUUUCCACAUGCUCUGUGCCCUCAUGAAAAAUCAACGUCGUCAAAGAUUUGAUUUGUCAGCAAGUGUCUCACCUGAUGGAUGCAAAGCCAGAGGCUCAGAUGUAGUCGCUCUGAAAGUGUGUCUACAAGGUACCAAUUAUUAAAACACUAUAGGUUGAAGCAUGGCCAUUAUGGUCAGAGACACUCAUAUCCAUGCACAUACUAUGAAUGCCCAUGCUCAUUCAAAACAUGGAAUGCUCUUAAAACUCAUUUGAGUAGAUGUCAUGUUGAUGUUUUACAUAAAAGAAGUGUAGAACUAGUAAUAUUUACAUGCCUUUUGUGUCCUGGAAGUGAAAUAUCAUCUAGUAAAGAAUACUGUUCUCAUAUCAACAACCAUUUGAGACGUUAUGAAACAGUAACUUGUAUAUAUCAGAACUAUUCAUUUCAAACUAUAUGCUACUCAAAUCCCAUAAAAGUAGGAAGCAUGCAAAUUGCACCAUAAAAGACUUUAAGUUAAAGUUGAAGUAGUGAAAAGUGGUGAUGUAAAUAGUGAGCAUCAGCUAUCUGAAGAACAUUCAACUGAUUUUGGAGAAAUUACUUCUGACUUAGAUUGUCAUAAUUUGAUUGAAGCUGAUGCACCAAAUGAGAACCUGCAAGACACAAUAACUCAAAAAUUGGCAUCUGUCAUUUUGAAACUAGAGAUCUUGUCACAUGUACCAAGCCAUUGAUGAGUUACUUGAGGAGUUACAUUUCCUUUUUUACCUCUGCUGCAGUGCCUGUAUUACACAGUACAGCCUUUGACAUUCUAAAAAAGCAUAAACCUCAGGUAAAUCAGUCCAUAAUUAAUUAACUCACCCUUGGCAUUUCUACUAAUAAUCCUUUGGUAAAAGUUAUAGCUAAGGGAGGUCCUCUAGCAUCGGUCUUCAAACGUAAACAGUUCUACAAGGAAAAUUUUAAGGUUGUGAAACCUGUUGAGUAUGUACUAGAGGCAAGGUCCAACAAAACCUUUCAGUAUGUUCCCAUACUGAAGUCUCUACAGCAAUUACUUGAACGUAAAGAUAUUGUUGAUAAGCUUGUUGAUAAUCAUACAGCCUGUUCUGCAAAUCCUCACCAAUAUGCAUGUUUUCAGGAUGGAAAGUAUCACAAAGACAAUCCUUUCUUUUCAUGUGAGGAUUUAAGGAUUUCCCUAUGUUUGUACAUCAAUGACUGUGAGGUUUGCAAUCCAAUGGGAACGUCAUGCAAGAAACACAAACUUUGUGCAGUUUAUUGGAUUUUAGGUCACUUGCCUCCUGGUUGCAGCUUGGCCUUGUCCUCAAUCUACUUAGCACUGUUGUGUAAAAGUGAUCAUGUCAAAGCUUAUGGCUAUAAGAAAAUAUUUGAGCCUCUGUUGCUUGAUAUUGUAACUUUAGAGCAGCAAGGGCUGUUUAUUCCACAGCUUGGGUCAUUCAUCAAGGACACAGUACAGUGUGUCGUGGCUGAUAAUCUGGGGGCUCAUGGGCUAGCUGGAUUUGUCGAGAGUUUCUCAGGAAAAUAUUUCUGUCGAUUUUGUACAGCACAGCUUUGUGACAUUCAGGAGCAAGAAGUUAAAUCAGGAGUAUUUCAGAGCAGAAGCAAGGAAGUUCAUCAGCUUCACAUCAGAACAGCUCAAGAAAAAGGGGUAAGCUGCUUUGGUGUAACAAAAGCUUGCAUUUUAACAGACAGCCUCUCUCACUUUAAUGUGAUAAGUGGUUACACUCCAGAUAUUGUCCACGAUCUCUUUGAGGGCAUAGUUCCUGUAGAACUAGCACGGUGUAUUGAAGUACUUCUAUCUAAAAAGUUCUUUACUCUUGAACUUCUUAAUAAUUUUAUCUAUUCUUUUCCAUAUAGAGGGGAAUAAAACUAACCGUCCUCAUUUGUUACCCAAAACUUUACAAAGGAAACAUACAAUAGGUGGCAAUGCCCACGAAAACUGGUGUCUUCUUUGAUUACUUCCUUUAAUUGUUGGAAACCUUGUUCCCAAUGAUGAACCUGCCUGGCAGGUGAUUUUGGUAUUAAAGGAUAUUACAGAAUUGGUUGUUGCCCUUGUUCUGAACUGAAUUGAAAUGCUGGUUAUUGGCCCGGAGUGAUAUAGACACCAGUUCGAUCAAGUAACUAUAUCCCUUGACAACUGUGUUAUCUCUCAAAGUACAACAGUCAAAAAUCUUGGCGUCACAUUUGAUCCUGCUCUUUCCUUCGAUCAGCACAUUAAAGACAUUACAAGGACCGCCUUUUUUCACCUACGUAAUAUAGCUAGGAUUUGGUCUUUUCCUUCCAUGGCAGACGCUGAAAUUCUAGUCCAUGCCUUUGUUUCUUCUAGACUGGAUUAUUGUAAUGUUUUGCUUUCAGGACUACCGCGUGCUAGCACUAAAAGUCUGCAAAUGGUUCAGAACGCUGCAGCUAGAAUGCUAACCAAAUCGCGAAGGUUUGACCAUAUCACCCCAGUUUUAGCCUCCCUUCAUUGGCUCCCUAUAUAUAUGUUAGAUCAGACUUUAAAGUUCUCUUAAUGACUUAUAAAAUUCUAAAUGGGUUAGCCCCCUCAUACCUGUCCAAGCUUCUUAACCCUUAUAUUCCCUUUCGUGCUCUGCAUUCUCAGAGUGCAGGGCUGCUAUCUGUCCCCAGAGUUAAAAAGAAGUCAGCAGGCUGCAGGGCCUUCUCCUAUCAGGCCCCCUUCCUCUGGAACAACCUCCCUAUUAAUAUUAGACAGGCUGACUCAGUUGAGGCCUUUAAAUCCAAACUAAAAACUCAUCUUUAUGCCUUAACUUUCGACUAGCAUAUUAUCCUGGUUCCUAUUUCAGGUUACCAUUUUCCCUCGGUGGGUUGGGUCAGUCUCAAUGCAUCAGUUAAGCUUAAUAGUUAGUAAAUGUUGUCUAUGAUGUCUUAAUAUCACUGCAUCACAUUAACUGUGUGUUUCUUCCCUCAAGCACAUUACUGCCCAGGCUGUGCUUCUCUCUCUCUUCUCUAGUCUCUCACUGCAGGGUUCUGCCUCCGGAGCUGGAGAGUUUCCUGCUGCUCCCAUGAUCCAGCUCAACCAAUAAUACGACAAUAAUUAAACAUUUAUUAGUGUUAAUGAUAGUGUUAGUGCUAUUAAUGUUUCACUGUUUGUCAUUAUUAUUCCUUUAGCUGUAAUAAUAAUUAUUACUAUUAUUAUUAUUAUUAUUAUUAUUACUACUACUAUUUACAUUUUGACUUAGUCUGUGUAUCUGCAAUGUUGUCUUUCUCUUAGCCCCCCCCCUCUCUGUCUAAACCCAAUCGGUCGAGGCAGAUGGCCGCCCACCUUGAGUCCGGUUCUGCUUGAGGUUUCUGCCUCUUAAAAGGAAGUUUUUCCUUGCCACAGUCGCCUAGUGCUUGCUCAUGGUGGGAUCUGUUGGGUUUUUCUCUGUAAAUUUUAUAAGAUAAAGAGUUCGGUCUAGACCGGCUCUAUAUGUACAGUGCCUCGAGAUAACUUCUGUUGUGAAUUGGCGCUAUAUAAAUAAAAUUUGACUUGACUUGUUGAUAGUCUAGAAUCAAUUGCAUACUUGGAGUGCAAAAUCUCAGAGCAUCGAAAAUGUUAUCAGGAACUCUUUCCUGGUCAAAAGUUGUUGCCCAAACAUAAUUUUCUGGAACACUAUCCAGAAAUGAUUAAAUGUUUUGGUCCCCUUGUAUCAUUAUGGACUAUGCGAUUUGAGGCCAAACACAGCUUUUUUAAGCAGGUGGUUAUGCAUAUAAAUAACUUCAAGAAUGUAACUUUGUCAUUAGCAACAAAGCAUCAGUUAAUGGUUGUCUAUAAUAUGCUUUGUCCUGAAAAUGAAAAGUCUUCCUUGGAUGUUGUCCAAGUCUCAAAAGUCCCCAUUGAUGUCCUUAAUGGGGAUGUUGUGAACACAAUUACCCAGACGUACCCUGACAUCACUACUGUAAACCUUGCCCAAAGUAUCACAGUUAAUGGCAUAAAAUACAAAAAAGGUAUGAUAGUUGUGCAUGGAUCAUGUGGGAGUCUGCCAGAAUUCUCAGUGUUAUGAUGGCCCUUUAGCGGCUGGAUUUGCAGUAGUGGAUGAUGAACAAGCCAAGGAUUCAAAGGACUUCGACGUGCAGUUUAUUUACAACCACCACAGUGACACAACUAGAACAAUUGAAAUAGUCAGCCACCAGCAACACAGUUAGAUGGAAAAUGGCUCCUUUUAUACUGUGUCCCUGGUGGACUACAUUGCAUCAUACCAUUGACAGGUAUGCUCCAUUUCUGCUUCCCAGUGAAAUUAUUCCAUUAGGACGUAAUUUCUAAUUUUAGCAAAAUAUUUACAAUGGUGUUUUCCUGUCAUUCACCUCCCAACAAACAUAAACCCCAAAAACACAAUUACACCCAAUAUAUUUAACAUACAAAUUCACCCAGAUCCCCUCUACCUAAUCAGCCACUUGGUCCCUCCCGGAACGUUCUUUUACCCUGUUCGUACCCCGGGGACUUCUUUCGGCCGAACACGGGAGCAGACACAAGAUCGGACCGGUAGAGCCCAGCGCCGGUCACCCAAUACCUGUAUUGUGACAUGUUCAAUACAUAUGCCAUGUAACCAAUCUACACUUACUACUCAAGAUGCAAAUAUCCUGUACAACGCUCUGUGAAUAAUAAAGUGCAAAAUGUCGCUGUUCAUGUUUGUAGUCAUUUGGUACAAGUAAAAUCGUCAUACUCUUCCCCCCACUAUACAAUAUUUACAAGCCAAGGCUGACAGUCACUGGUAACGAAGCGCCCUUCGUUACACUCAGAAAUAAUUCAGCUGUGCAUUAUAAAAAACUAUUUAAGUCUCAUUAAAAACUGAGCUCAUGGUACAGAGAGCACUAUCGAGCAUUUGAGCUGCAUCCAACAAGAGAGCUUGCAGUGGUUGAUCUGAAGGACCUUACUGACCAGUAUACAGUAUAUACUUUGGCUGACUACAGAGUCAGAUCCCUAUGAAUGGUGACUUUAAAAAGAUUUGUACAUGUGACAAGUAAAAAGUGUGUAAAUUAAAAACUUGAAUUUUCAGAUUUCAGUCACUAAUAGUUACUAGUGGGUACCUUAUGAAGGUGUAGCAAUGCAGAAAUUCAUAAUAUAAAAGCUGAUGAAAUUGAAAUUUAAAAAGAUUUCUUUAAUUACUGCUGAAACAAUUUCAUAGGGAUAUUAUACAAAUUUGGUUUUAAAACUUCUAGAGAAAAAAGCAGCUGUGAAAAAUGAGGCAGAAAGGAAAAAGUGAAAAGAGGUGUAAAAUAGGCAGAGGAUACGAAGAGAAAAAAAAGGCAGAAAAUAAAAGGCGUAAAAGAAUGCGAUAAAAGAGGAAAAAAUCAAAGACUCCAAUCUUCUUGACAUAUUAAAAUGUAGAUUUUAUGAAUUGUAGAAUGUAAUGCGUUUCUCAUUUCUGAAUUUGACAAUGAGUUUGUAAACUUGACAGUUACUUCAGAAAUCAAAGACAAGAGCACAGUUAAAGUUAUUUACUUAACAAAUGAGUCAGAUACAACCACUAACCACCUGCUCUGCAGGGGUUAGAUGACAGCUCAUUGUCCACCGCAUCAGACACGGACAUACAUCUUCAGGUUCUUCCCUUAGAUCACAGCCAUGGCCCUCAAACUUCGAGAUACCUCAGUUCAGUUAUGAGGUACAGAUUCAGUUGGAAAGGGCCAACCAAGCCUUCUGUAACAGUGGCACUCUUCUCAGUCCAAGUACCAAACUCAAGUCAGAUAUACUAGAUGGUUUGGCAAAAGAAAUUGUCAAGUACAAAGUUUACCCCUCAAGUGCAGAGUCUGCAUGUGGCUCAGGCUCUGAUAACAAAGUAUCCCUGUUUAUAGGAGCAAGGAUCAAUCACUGGCUUCUAUGGAUGGAAAAUAAGUCUUAAGUACAAAAUGGCAAACUACCGCACUAGACUAAGGAACACUGGCUGCCCAGAGUUGAGCAUCAAUGCUGUAAAAGAAAAGCGAGGUGCCAUGAGUCAAAGCCCUAAUCAAGUGAAGAAACCAAGGAAAACCGAGGUCAACAUCUGUCCUGAUUACCCGGCAGGUGAAAUUAAGGAAACCCUCAAGGAGGAAAGGCAAGUACUUACAUUAGAGGAAAAGAAGAAGAACAAUCAACAGCUCAUCAGUAAAAUCGAAAGAACCUUUGCAUACAGAAGACAGGAAGUAAUCGAGGAUAUGCCCUUCAUAGCAGAGUUCAAAAACAGAUGGCCAGCUCUGUUUCUGGAGAGUCAGGUAAUGUAUUACUCAGGCUGUGUAUUUUAUUGUCCAUUUGUCCAUGUAUCUUAAAUUUAAAAAAAGACUUGACUGUGUAAGUGUAGAUCCAAAUCUUGUGAUUAAGGUGAAUGGACAAAGUCAGCUAAUUUGAAAUUGACAAAAGUUUAGAGGAAAAGUGAAAAUAUUCCAUGCAUGUGGCUUGACAGCACCUAAAGACAUUCAGCCAAAAGCAAGCUGAUUAUGUGGUAAUGUGAGGUCAUUUUUUGUUAAAUGUGAUAUUCACAGCAGAUUAUGUUUCAAUAUGUUUCAGGUAAAUGCUGAGUUCACCCGCAUCACUACAGUCCCCCUGCUCUCAACCUUUAUGGCCCAACUGGAUCAUUACUCCGGCCAGUUCAAAAAAAAGGGGGGAAGUGGGGGACAGCAGGACACACUAUCAGCCUGAUCAUGGCAGUCAUGGACAAGAAUCCCAUUGUUGAAGUAUGAUGGGAAUGCAUAGUAAAAGCAUUAAGAGCCUGUUGGCCUUGUUAAGGAGUACUUGGUAAGUUACAACAGUAUUUAUCAACCAUUGCAUAAUUGAAAAAUCUAGAUGUCCCUAUGUUCUGGGUCUUUUGCCAUCUCCUGACCGCUCGGGUGGUGACUGACCUUUUUCUUGCAAGGAAAAUAAAACUUUGUCGGCCAGCAGAAGUCUCUAUUUCAUUCUUCACCAGCAGCUGAGAAAAUUUCCACAACAAAUACACCUUCAAAUUUCUUCAGAAAGUGGUGAUGGGAUUGGAUGGGAACAAGCUCUCCACAAAAGUACAAAUCCUCAAAAACAAACUGCAUGAAUGAAAUCACCUACAGCAGACAAGAUUAGACCUGGAAUUGGACCUCACUGAAAACCUUCAAUUUGGACUAAUGUUGGAGAAAACAAUGAGCAAUCUAAAGCCCAAAUUUAGUUUGAUGGUAAUGAUUGUGCUGUUUAAAGUUUUCACCAGUGAUACACAUUCAGAUUUCUUCACAAAGUGAUGGAGUUGGGUUCCAUCAUGAUAAAUGUCCUCAUAAAAACAAUGCACAAGUGAAAUCACCUGCAGUAGACAAGACUGGACCUGUGACUCUUAACUCCCUUUUUGUUUGUUUUGAAAGUGACUGGAACAGAGUGGGAAGUGUAAAUGACGUUUUAGGUAAUUGCUGCGCUGUUAAUUUCUUUGGGCAGGCAACCGUUUCAGUUAUUUGAGACACAUUGUGCUUGUGUUGGAGGUUCUUGACAGAUUGAUUAAGUGUAAUUUCAAAUGAUUCAGUUGGGGGACUUAUAUACAUUUUAAUUUAUAUGUUUAUAUGGUAUGUGUUAAGUACCAGAAACAAUUUUGUUUACAUUGUG